UACAGAGGUCCCGAGCGUUGUUCGGAUUCAUUGGGCGUAAAGGGUGCGUAGGUGGCGCUGUAAGUGGGGUGUGAAAUCCCAGGACUUAACCCCGGGACUGCAUUCCAUACUGCGGUGCUUGAGGACUGGAGAGGAGACUGGAAUUUACGGUGUAGCAGUGAAAUGCGUAGAGAUCGUAAGGAAGACCAGUGGCGAAGGCGGGUCUCUGGACAGUUCCUGACACUGAGGCACGAAGGCCAGGGGAGCAAACGGG
rnacentral:rRNA from 1 species